rnacentral:rRNA from 1 species
AACGAACGCUGGCGGCAGGCUUAACACAUGCAAGUCGAGCGCCCCGCAAGGGGAGCGGCAGACGGGUGAGUAACGCGUGGGAAUCUACCCAUCUCUACGGAAUAACGCAUGGAAACGUGUGCUAAUACCGUAUACGUCCUUCGGGAGAAAGAUUUAUCGGAGAUGGAUGAGCCCGCGUUGGAUUAGCUAGUUGGUGGGGUAAAAGCCUACCAAGGCGACGAUCCAUAGCUGGUCUGAGAGGAUGAUCAGCCACACUGGGACUGAGACACGGCCCAGACACCUACGGGAGGCAGCAGUGGGGAAUAUUGGACAAUGGGCGCAAGCCUGAUCCAGCCAUGCCGCGUGAGUGAUGAAGGCCCUAGGGUUGUAAAGCUCUUUCACCGGUGAAGAUAAUGACGGUAACCGGAGAAGAAGCCCCGGCUAACUUCGUGCCAGCCGCCGCGGUAAUAC